rnacentral:rRNA from 1 species
AGUUUGAUCCUGGCUCAGAGUGAACGCUGGCGGCAGGCCUAACACAUGCAAGUCGAACGGCAGCACAGAGGAGCUUGCUCCUCGGGUGGCGAGUGGCGGACGGGUGAGGAAUACAUCGGAAUCUGCCUAUUUGUGGGGGAUAACGUAGGGAAACUUACGCUAAUACCGCAUACGACCUACGGGUGAAAGCGGAGGACCUUCGGGCUUCGCGCAGAUAGAUGAGCCGAUGUCGGAUUAGCUAGUUGGCGGGGUAAAGGCCCACCAAGGCGACGAUCCGUAGCUGGUCUGAGAGGAUGAUCAGCCACACUGGAACUGAGACACGGUCCAGACUCCUACGGGAGGCAGCAGUGGGGAAUAUUGGACAAUGGGCGCAAGCCUGAUCCAGCCAUGCCGCGUGGGUGAAGAGGGCCUUCGGGUUGUAAAGCCCUUUUGUUGGGAAAGAAAAGCAGUCGGUUAAUACCCGAUUGUUCUGACGGUACCCAAAGAAUAAGCACCGGCUAACUUCGUG